rnacentral:rRNA from 1 species
AUUAGGUGCUUGCACUUAAUGGACAGCGGCGCACGGGUGAGUAACGCGUACACAAUCUACCUUUCAGAGUGGAAUAGCCCCGGGAAACUGGGAUUAAUACCGCAUAGUAUUAUUAGGCCGCAUGGCCUGAUGAUUAAAGCUCCGGUGCUGAAAGAUGAGUGUGCGUACUAUUAGCUAGUUGGUAAGGUAACGGCUUACCAAGGCUACGAUAGUUAGGGGGCGUGAGAGCGUGACCCCCCACACGGGUACUGAGACACGGACCCGACUCCUACGGGAGGCAGCAGUAAGGAAUAUUGGACAAUGGGCGCAAGCCUGAUCCAGCCAUCCCGCGUGCAGGAUGACGGCCCUCUGGGUUGUAAACUGCUUUUAUUAGAGAAGAAACCCCCGAACUUGUUUCGGGGCUGACGGUAUCUUUUGAAUAAGCACCGGCUAACUCCGUGCCAGCAGCCGCGGUAAUACGGAGGGUGCAAGCGUUAUCCGGAAUCACUGGGUUUAAAGGGUACGUAGGCGGCUAAAUAAGUCAGAGGUGAAAGCCCGGCGCUCAACGUCGGAAUUGCCUUUGAUACUGUUUAACUUGAAUUAGGUUGAGGUGGGCGGAAUGUGGCAUGUAGCGGUGAAAUGCAUAGAUAUGCCAUAGAACACCAAUUGCGAAGGCAGCUCA